UACGAGUGGAGCAAACGUUGUUCGGAUUUACUGGGCGUAAAGGGCGUGUAGGCGGCUUGUCAAGUCGUGUUUGAAAGCCCCCGGCUCAACCGGGGAAUUGGGCACGAUACUGGCAGGCUUGAGGUCAGCAGGGGAGCGUGGAACGUCAGGUGGAGCGGUGAAAUGCGUAGAUAUCUGACGGAACACCGGUGGCGAAGGCGACGCUCUGGGCUGAUACUGACGCUGAGGCGCGAAAGCGUGGGGAGCAAACAGG
rnacentral:misc_RNA from 1 species